AUUAAACGCUGGCGGCAUGCCUUACACAUGCAAGUCGAACGGCAGCACGGGGGCAACCCUGGCGGCGAGUGGCGAACGGGUGAGUAAAGCAUCGGAACGUGCCCUGGAGUGGGGGAUAACGUAGCGAAAGUUACGCUAAUACCGCAUAUCUGUGAGCAGGAAAGCAGGGGAUCGCAAGACCUUGCGCUCUGGGAGCGGCCGAUGUCGGAUUAGCUAGUUGGUGGGGUAAAGGCCUACCAAGGCGACGAUCCGUAGCGGGUCUGAGAGGAUGAUCCGCCACACUGGGACUGAGACACGGCCCAGACUCCUACGGGAGGCAGCAGUGGGGAAUUUUGGACAAUGGGCGAAAGCCUGAUCCAGCCAUGCCGCGUGAGUGAAGAAGGCCUUCGG
rnacentral:rRNA from 1 species